rnacentral:rRNA from 1 species
UACGUAGGGGGCAAGCGUUGUCCGGAAUCAUUGGGCGUAAAGCGCGCGUAGGCGGCCCGAUAAGUCUGCUGUGAAAGUCCAGGGCUCAACCCUGGAAUGCCGGUGGAUACUGUCGGGCUAGAGUUCGGAAGAGGCAAGUGGAAUUCCUGGUGUAGCGGUGAAAUGCGCAGAUAUCAGGAAGAACACCCGUGGCUAAGGCGGCUCUCUAGUACGGUACUGACGCUGAGACGCGAAAGCGUGGGGAGCGAACAGG